AAUUAAGAAAUAAAAUAUUUAUAAUUCAAUUUCGACUUGAAAAUAGGACUAUAAUCCCUUACUUAAUUU
rnacentral:tRNA from 1 species